GUCCCCUUUACUGUAGAGUGUGGAACUGUCCGUUUACCCUCCCUUGGUGUCAGUGAAUUAUCCCACGAUACUGUGAAAAUUGUCACCUUAAUUGCUAAGCAUUUAUCACGUAUUCAAGAGUGGCUAAAUCGUUGUUCUGUUUUUGUAAUGAACUGAAUACUGGUAUUCCUUACAAAGCCGGAAUAGUGUAGGCUUACAGUGGUACAAGCUUAGGUACGCCAUAUUCGUAGCCUACCAGCCAUGACAGUUUCCAGUAGCCUUUUCAGGACCAGGAGUUCACCUUAGACCAGUGAGGCGAAUGGAUGGCUAUCAUAAAUCUACGGGGAACAGGAUAUUUCUUAUUAAGCGAUUCUUACGUGAUGCUGCUGAAAUAGUAAUUCAAUCAAAUUCCAC